CCUUUUUUGACGGGAUCGGGAUCGGGAUCGCGGCUGGGGCAGCGCUCGGGUCACCGUCACCGUCACCGUCACUGUCACGGGCGGCACCCGAGCCUCGGGGACGCGGCCCUGGGGACCGGCUGAGGAAUUCCAGCUCCUGGGAAUUUCAGCUCCAGGGAAUUCCAGCUCCUGGAGAUCCCAGCUUGUUGAGAUUCCAGCUCCUGGCAAUUCCAGCUCCUUGGGCACCCGUUGGGAUGGAAGAGGGGCCAGGGCUGGCGCCUCAGUGGCGGUGAGCCGAUGAGUUUCCUCCCGCUGCGCUGACGACGGAUGGGGGCCGGGCGGGGCC